rnacentral:rRNA from 1 species
GAUGAACGCUAGCGGCAGGCUUAAUACAUGCAAGUCGUGGGGCAGCAUGAGUAGCAAUACUUGAUGGCGACCGGCAAACGGGUGAGGAACACGUACACAACCUUCCUUCAAGCGGGGAAUAGCCCAGAGAAAUUUGGAUUAAUACCCCAUAAUAUAUUUGAUAAGGCAUCUUAUUAAUAUUAAAGCUUCGGCACUUGAUGAUGGGUGUGCGGCUGAUUAGAUAGUUGGCGGGGUAACGGCCCACCAAGUCUACGAUCAGUAGCUGAUGUGAGAGCAUGAUCAGCCACGCGGGCACUGAGACACGGGCCCGACUCCUACGGGAGGCAGCAGUAAGGAAUAUUGGACAAUGGACGAAAGUCUGAUCCAGCCAUGCCGCGUGAAGGAUUAAGGUCCUCUGGAUUGUAAACUUCUUUUAUAUGGGACAAAAAAGGGCAUUCUUGUUCACUUGACGGUACCAUAUGAAUAAGCACCGGCUAACUCCGUGCCAG